AGGAAUUAAAAUUCAGAAUAUUCUCUAGUUAAGCCCCUAAGACAAACUUGACAGUGUUUUCAAAAAAGUGACUAUCUGCCACAAAAUUACCAAUUUUGCAAUAUCCAUGGUAUGACAUAUUUUAACUAUGAUUCCUAUGCACAAUUUCAUUAAAAAUAUCUGACAUUCAAAAAUGGCUUAAACUUAACAGCACUACUUUCUUGUAACGGCAAGGAGACAAAUUAUGUAGAAGUUAAGGGAUAUUUACUUACUCUAAGUUACCAAGAAAAAGACCAUAAUAAUUUUUCUGAUACCAAUUAGCAAAGUAAUUCUCUACUACUUCUCCCCACAUGCUAAAAUGGAAACAUCAAUAUUCAUACUAUAGAACUAAUAACCCUCAACUGAAAGAAUGGCAGGUAAAUUAUACAGUGGAUUUAUAAUGACACUCAAGGUACAUUUUGACAGCACAUUAAACACGUCUGCUACCCUCGGUCAAGACAGUUAACGAGAUGGCCUUAAAAUCAACACAUGAUUCUUUAGGCUUUUCCUCAAACUACGUCUAAAAUUUUUUGCUUUUCCUCAAACUACUUUUAAACUUUUAUGUAAUUUUAUCCCAC
rnacentral:lncRNA from 1 species